AGGCCCAGAGAGAAAGGCAGGGUCUGAUUCGCAGCCUCUGUGGCAGCUGUUGAUCAGCCAUCGCCUCUCUCUCUUUCUCUC
rfam:Myotis davidii contig137436, whole genome shotgun sequence.